UCUUGACCAUAUCCAACCCAUUAAAUCCACUUAUCCGGUUUUUAAAUUAGCUUAACAAAUAAUUAAAGUGCAAAGUUAUUUUAUUUACGUAUUUUUUCCACAAGAAAUUGUUCAUCUUCUCCCAAGCCGCUCACUAUGAACUCCAAUGCAAACCCUAGACCUCCCCUUCCUCUUAUUUUCUUUUAUUGUUAUCUUGGUGAGUGAGUAUGUGAGAUAGAACCUUGAUUUCAUCUACUGCCUGGAUUUUCUCCCUGUGACUAAGCGAUUAUGUAGGUUAGAUCGAGAUAAUUGACUUGCUUGCAUAAUGAUUGAACUUGUUGGGUUUGUUCUUGAGAAGAAGUAUUUGGUAACUAUUCUUGCUCACUAACCUAUAAUCACCAUGUUUGUUAUAUAAUCACCAUUUUUCAUUGCGAGUUUUCCCUAAAAAGAAAAUUUAACUUACAUGUAUAGUAGAACUUUGUUCCUGUUGUUUUAUAUGUUAUCCACUUAGACUUAUCAUUGCUUUUGUGUAUUAAUGAUCAUUUUAGAGCUUUGAUCACUGAAAAUUAUAGUUUUUAGAACAAAAGUUCCUCUCGCCUCUGUCAUACACUGCACUAAACUCUUAAUUUGAAGUUGUCCUGUCUAAUUUGUUUCUCUUACUAAAACAUGAUCUGUUUUGAAGGCAAAAAGGAGCACUUGCAAUGUGUGAAAAUAUUUGUUGGCACCACUUAUGCUAUUGGAAUGAUAGAAAUAUUGUUAUGAAUUUAGAUAAUAUGGUGGACAUGCUAGAAUUCAUAUGAUACUUAUGUAAUAUAGACUACAUUUUCUCUAUACUUUCACUUUUUUAAAAAAAUAAAAGGACAAUUGCUAUAUUAUGUAACUCUAAAUAGUAAUCAAUAGAUAACGACCCAAAUAAAAAUAAAUGAUAAAAUUAAAAGAAAGAAAAGAAUCUCAAAUAGGCACAAAGAAAAUCACAUAAAGCUCAAAACUCCAUCCAGAUAGACCAUUUAUAAAUUGGAAACUAUAGAAGAAUCUAUAGCUUUAGGCCUUGCUGGCUUUUGAUCUACCAAACCUCCAAAAUGUCCUAAAAGCAGAUCAACUAUUGCAACAACUUCAUACUGCUAUGAAACUGUACAAUACCUCUUUGACUACCACUAAGAGCGGUAACCGAUGAGGAGCUUAAUAUACUGUCCUAAGACAGGGCAAGUUCCUUACACCUUCUAUUGAUAGAGAUGAGAAUUAUUGUGUUUAUAUCUAGAGCAUUUCAACCUUAGGAAUUCUCAAUCUCUCACCCGGAUUUAUGGAAUCGAAAUUCAUGGAAGAGUUCUUCCAUCUUAGCUAGAGUCAAGUUGUCCUUUUUUCACUUUUUAGGUGCUACGUGUUUUUUCUUUCUUUCGUUCUCCGUGGAUAGACAUUUAAUUACAGAUAGAAAAUAAUUAAUGCUAUUUUCAAACUUCUGAUAGAUUGAUUGCCUAAAAUGAAUUUAAUAUCACUAUCUUCACUAGCCAGUUCUAAGUAAUUCCAGCGUCUUUAUUUUUACAAGUGCAUUCAAAGUGUUAACUUUAUAUGUAUAUCUACCUCUUGUUGUUAAACUUGAAUGCCUAUUGUAUUACUAAAAAUAGUUGGUAACUGUGUUGUGCCUUGUGGUUGAUUAUAUGCUUAGUAAAAAUAGUUGGUAACUGUGUUGUGCCUUGUGGUUGAUUAUAUGCUUUUGGUAGUGCUUUCUCCAUAUUGAUUACUUUUUUCCCUUCUGCUGGUGAUUCCUGUGAUGAAAAGAAUGUUAAUGUAUCUAAAAAUUCAAAAGCUAGGUUAGUAUCAUUUUGAUAUUGUUUUAACUAAAGUCUUACCUUAUCAAAAAAAUGGUGAACUAGUGACCAUCUUGGCAGUUUGGUUAUAAGAUCGAAGUAUUGAUAGUUCAUGCACCCCCCCCAUGUGUACAUUUUUUUUUGAUGAAUACUUAGGGAGGAGUCAACUUGAGACUAGGGGUUCAAUCGAACCACUUUUAGUGGAAAAUAUACUAUUUGUACAUGAUUAACAUUAAUUUUUAUGUAAAUAUUCUAGAUAUUCAACCCCAUUUAACUAGUUCAUCUGUUAACUCUUUUUUUUAUUUUUUGAACCAUUAGUGAAAAUACUGAUUCCCUCACUAUCUAUAUAGUGUACACUGCUUAUAUAAAUGAGAUAAAGUAAUGUUUUGUAGAGAAAUAGCAAAAAAAUAGGUGAGGGGCUGAAGAGGAGAAAUAAUUGAUCAGUUACAACUUCUGAUGUGAUUGCUACAUAUUUUUUUCCUUAUAAAUAAAUUAUGCUGAGAGUACUAUGAUGUUGAAAAUAAGAACUGUGUUAGUGGUUCAUCUUCAUUAAAGCAAAAUCUUUAGUUCUUUAUUUGUCACAUUGUCAUAGUUAUUUGUUUUUUGAGUUAUAUAUGUGUUUCCUAAAAGAUUUUAAGUUGUCUAUUCAUGAAGCUAUAGUUGAAUCUCCGAUCCUUAAAGUAUGCAGAGAGAGAGUCUAAUUCAACACACAUUGUCAUCUCUGAGACCAAUUAUUUUUCACGUAAUUGUCACCAUAUUUUAGUACACAAAUUUGUAACUAUUAAUGUCUAAUGCAGAGUAUCUCUCUGUCUGUAAAUGAUCUCUUAGCGUGUUGUGACUUUUUAUGCAGGAGUUUUUGUGAUGGUGGAUAUCCUAUAGCAACAAGGCGAUACUUUAAAUGGAUGGGAGAGAUUGCAGAAGAGGUAAAUGGUGAAUUAGCUUGGAAAUUUGUGAUUUUAUCCAAAUUUUCAGUAGGCCUUUGUUUGUUUCCUAGCAGGUGCAAAUUUUCAUGGUUGAUAUCUACUUACAUAAGAAUUUAUUGGUCUUGCCUCAUGCUCUUUUUUUGCAUGAAUAGAGUAAUAAGUAUUGAAUGAUUUUCAAUCAAAAUUAACUGGUAAAGAUAUAAAAGUCAUGUGAGAUAUUAAAAAAAUAAAACAUUUUUCCUACCUAUUUACACUUGUACUCUUGUCUCACAAUUUUAAUAGUAUUGGUGAAUUGAUGAUAUCUAUAGGUUUGUUAACUGACAAAUGGUGUAAUAAGUAAGUGGAUCCACAAGCACUGUUUUGUCAAUUGUGUUUCAGUAAGCUAUAGUUCAUCUAUGACUGCAUUUGUUUGUUUUAGUUGUUUCCAUGAUCAUAUCUAUGGUGCUUUAUAUAUGGAAUUAAAUCAUUUCCUUUUUGAAAAUCUACAAAAAUAGUAUUAAGUUUAUCAUAUGAUUAUGUGACAUAAGUUGAAACUUAAUGUGCAUUAAGGAAUGACUUUAGAGAAAUACGAGCAUACUACUUCCGAGUUCAUUAUAUUUGUCAUAUUUUAAUUUUUCACACGACCCUCAACUAAAAUGAUUAUUUUACUUAAUUAUUCUUUUUACAUUUUUAUCUCAAUAGCCUGGAGGGUUUUUUUUUUGGAAACUACACUUUCCACAUUCCAUUUAUGGGUUUUUAUUGGAUGUUCUAUUUUUUUGUUAAUCUUAAUUAAAUACUAUGUUUACUCACAUUAUUCUCUUCAUAAAUAAAAAUUGUUUCGGAUAAGGAAAUUGUAGUUGUUUCCGUGAUCAUAUUUGGUGCCAUUAGGAGCACUUAUACUACACUGACAAGUUUUUUUUUCAUAGAUCAAAGAUUUGUAAUUGAAAGAACCUUGAAGAAACUGCAGAGAAAAUGUAUGUGACUGGAAAAGUUUAAAGAAGUUGAAGCACAAGAGAAAUAUAUUUUCUAUCUUUUUUAGGAGUUUGAUAAUAUUAUCAUGUGUAUAUGUGACAUAAUAUUCUCAUAAUGUAGGAUGUAGACUAUUAUAAUGGCAUACACCUGUUUAUAGUAAUGCUUAUUCUUUGUAAUUAAAUUUUGGUAGUUCAUAUAUGACUCAAAUCAUGAAUGAUAAUUAUUAAGUUUUUGUACAUCUUAACAAUAAUAAGCAUGUAAUGAUCAAAUUUUUAGUUGGUAAAAUCUAGUACAAAAUUAGGUAAAGUAAAAUCUAGUUGCUUAAAGAACUUAUAACAACUGGAUUUGUUACUGUAAUUAAGUGUUUUUAGUGAUCGAAAUGAAAAUUAAUGAAAGAUAAAUUUGGUUGUUAAAAUGAGAAUCGACGACCGGAAUUUUUACCAUCGCUAAAGAAUUUUAAACAACCAAUUUGAAAAUUCGGUCGUUAACUUUUAACGAUGAAGCUUUUAGCGAUCGGUGACGACCAAUUCUUUACCGAAUAACAACCGGAUCUAGAC
rnacentral:lncRNA from 1 species